UUCCUGCUCUUUCUUUCACCGGGUGUUGAUUCGAAUGAGUCUUUUAUUUGAUUAACUGUAAUAUAAAUUAAAUUUCCUUUUUUUGUGGCUUCACUGGAAUGCUGGUCUGUGUUUCAUUAUUCUUGUGUGAAUAUUUGAUUGGCAGACUGCCAGCAUGAUCACGCUAGGCAGACAACCCACCCACUUUCCACACCAGGCCUUUGUACAGCAUGAACGUAUCCUUCAAAGGAAGUGUCACUGCUUGUGGUGAUGCAACGUAUAAGCAGGGAUUCAGAAACAAUGGGCAAGGAAAACCCCUCAGAGGAGGACAGUACUCCUGAGAAGGGAUCACCAUACAUUUUUACCACCCCAAGCCCAAGCACAGGACACAGCAGCAAGAGACACAGAAAUCCUGGAAGCAGCUGGCUCUCACUGAAAUGGCCAAGAGGAAGGUCCGAGAUGCUGACAGUGGGAGUGCAAGUGACUUCCAAGAUGAAGAGCUUUCACUUUAUAUGUGGUAAGCCUUGAUGGUAGCAAUGAGAAGAGGUGAUGGAUGCUGCCUUCUUGAGGUAUUGCCUUUUGAAGAUUUCCUCGAUGCUGGGAAGGCUAGUGCCCAUGACGGAGCUGGCUGUGUUUACAACUUCCUGCAGCCUUGUUCGAUCCUGUGCAGUGGCCCCUCCAUACCAGAUGGUAAUGCAACCAGUUGAAAUGCUCUCAACAGUACAUCUGUAGAAAUUCGCUCGUCUUCGGUGAUAUUCCAAGAGUUCUCAAAUUCCUAAUGAAAUGUAGCCGCUGUCAUGUCUUCUUUGUAAUUGCAUCAAUAUGUUGGGCCCAGAAUAGAUCUUCAGAGAUGUUGACACCCCGGAACUUGAAACUGUUCAACCAUUCCACUUCUGAUCCCUUGAUGAGGAUUGGUGUGUGUGCCCUCAAUUUCCCCUUCCUUCGGUCCACAAUCAAUUCCUUGGCCUUUCUGACAUUAAGUCCAAGGUUGUUGUUGCUACACCACUCAACCAGCUGACUUAUCUUGCUCUUGUAUGCCUCCUUGUCACCAUCUGAAAUUCUGCUAACAGUAGCUGUGACAUUGACAAACUUUUGACUUCCUGUACUUAUGUGCUGCUUAUUGUUCCCUUUGCCCCCUAAACUCCUCAAAAGUACAAUCUGCACAAGGUGAGGGAUUGAACUUCUUAAUAUGCUCCCUCUCUUCACCACAAUCUGUGGUUGUCUGUAUCUUUUCAAAUAGACAAAAAUGCUUAAAUUGUGCUAAAAAGUAGAAGAGAGGAACAGAGACAGAUUAGAUCUGCACUGUAAAUGACACACACAUGUGCAUUGUUAUAUACACGAUUUUCUGUAUAUGCUAGAGCAGCUCUUCUCUUUCUCUUUGUGAUUCCUCCUUUCGGCUGUGUCAACCAUAGUUAUACAUAAGUAAGUACGUUACUGUCUCCAGUUGCUUCAGUUUUACUGCUGUCCAUGACUUCACCGAUGGCUGCUCCAACAUUGGCAAGGACUGUAGCCUCCUCCCUGAUGGGAGUGGGAUAAGCAGCCCAUGACUAGGAGAUAGUUAAAGUCAUCCAGCCUUAUUAGGAGCUGAUGGAAGCUGGCAGGUCCUGGUUCUCACCUGGAAGUGCAGGUAUCAAAAAUCAGAGGGAACCAACUAAAAUUUUAACUCUUGAUCAAGACUGAGCAAGAGGAUUCGGGCUGGCUGAUCUGACAAGGUGCAGGGGGCCCUUCUCUCACAACCUUAAGAAAGCCAAAGUUCUCCUCCAUAUGGGUAACAUUCUGUUGCUAGGCUCUCUCACCCACUGAUUGUCUGAAACAUUGUUCUUCAAGAGUGAGGGAAGCAUGCCCUUGACAUUGAUUGAAGAGUUAGGAUUGUGGAUUCGUACUCAGUGUGUAAGGAUGCACUGUUGCACAAUUUCUGAUUGGCAGCUGAGUGACAGUUUGUCGUGUCUGAACAGGGUAGGAGACUAGAAAAUUGGAGGAUAGUAGCUAGAAAAAUUAUUCACUGACACGAACCAUUUGGAUGAGAUCUUUAAUGUUUAGAAGCUCAUGUGCCUUCAGUGAAUGACCCCUAGUUUUGAUUCUCUCUGCUUUCUGUAUUCAUCACCUCUGCAGUUUGCCUGGAAAACCUCCUAGGACUAGAGGUCACAACCUUAGAAUAGAGGGACGCAGAGAGUAGAGAUUUAGAACAGUGAUUAGUUGAAUUUCUUUAGCCAGAGGGUAGCAAAUCUGUGGAAUUCACUGCCACAGACCGGUGUGGAGGCCAUGUCAUUGAGUAUGUUAAAAAUGGAUGUUGAUAGGUUCUUGAUUAUUCAGGGUGUUAAAGAUAAUGGGGAGAAGGCAAGAGAAUGGGGUUGAGAGGGAUAAUAAAUCAGCCAUGAUGGAAUGGCAAAGCAGAUGCGAGGGGCUGAAUGGCCUAAUUAUGUUCUUACAGUAUGUCUUAUGGUCUUCCUGCUAACAGGCCUGUCUCUGUUUCUCAAUCUCUUGCACUAAAGCCCCAGUGCAGGAUCAGAAAAUGUUGGGACACAUUUCUUUAUUACUUUGGGUCAUUGACACCAUCGCCACAACCUGAAAGGGUCCUAUAACCUCUCAUAGCUUCGUAAUCCACACACGAUGCACUUCCCUUGAACCGAUGUAGACAAGCUUAAGCAGAGGAGCCAAGUUGUAAAUGGUGCCGGCCACACAUGAAGUGGGCUUCCUGUUAAUAAGUUGGCACCAAUAAGUUUGGGAUGGCACAGUAGCAUAGCAGUUAGAGUAACUCUACUACAGGUUCAUUUCCCGUUGCCAUCUGUAAGUAGCUUUAACAGUCUCUCUGUUGGUUUCCUCCGGGUGUUCUGGUUUCCUCCUACAUUCCAAAGACAUAAAAGUUAGUAGGUUAAUUGGGCAGGUUGGUGUUGUUGGGGCAGCAUGGACUCACUGGGCAGGAAGAGUCUGUUACCAUGCUGGAUCUCUACAAUUAAAAAUGUUUAAAAAAUUAAUGGGAACCAUGCAACUUAUCUCCAAAGGAUUUCUGGUCUUAACACUGAUAUGCCAUCUAUCAUGGCCCCACCUACUUGGGUGCUGUCUGAAUGAAAAUUAGUGCUUUAGAGUCAGGUAGCAAAAUGGCACAAAGUCACAUGUGUUUAAGUGUCAUUAUAGUCUCAGUUACGCUGGCAGAAUGUAACUGGAAGCUGCCUCCUUUUGUUUUCAAAAUACUUAGAGAUAAUUUUGCUCUUAAUUCCUUGGUGGUGAUAUUUGCCAUAAAUAGGAUUAAUAAAAUUGAUAUAGCUUAAGGUUUAAUGCAGCCAUUUGAUUCAUGAAGGUGAAAGCUGAAAAUGUACACCAGCAUAUUAAAUAUUAUUCAUGAAAUAUUACCUAGGUGGCUACUAUGACAUCAAGAGCCGUGAAAGCUUAAAUGACAUUUAAGCAGACAUAACAAUUGCUAGGAGCAGACUAGAUUUUAUUCAAUUUAUAUCAUGUCAAAAAUAAAUUUGUGACUCACUGAAGAAUGCAGACACCUCUUGCUGUGACGUAAAUGUUUGGGCCUCUUCUGACCACUGCACUGUAUUUGUCAUAUUAUUUUGAAUUGUUCUGUAAAAGAGAGAGCCAAUUUCUUUUAAAAGCAAUGUAUGAAGUAACACCAUUUUAUUUGCCUCGAGGUGGCAUCAUGCCUGAAGAAGUGCAGCUUUAUUCUUUUACUAUGGUGUAUGUUUAUAUCAUACCUUCAAUCAUUUGCAGCAGAUUGUCCUAUGAAUUUUUAAAAUAAAAUUGAUACACUACUUA